AACGAACGCUGGCGGCGUGGAUAAGACAUGCAAGUCGAGCGGGAUAUUAUUUGUAGCAAUACAAAUGAUGUCCAGCGGCGCAAGGGUGCGUAACACGUGGGCAAUCUGCCGAGAAGUGGGGGAUAGCUCGCCGAAAGGCGAAUUAAUACCGCAUGUGGUUAAGGACGACAUCUUCCUGACACCAAAGCCGGGGCAACCUGGCGCUUCUUGAUGAGCCCGCGGCCUAUCAGCUAGUUGGUGAGGUAACGGCUCACCAAGGCUAUGACGGGUAGCUGGUCUGAGAGGACGACCAGCCACACUGGAACUGAGACACGGUCCAGACACCUACGGGUGGCAGCAGUCGAGAAUUUUUCUCAAUGGGGGAAACCCUGAAGGAGCGACGCCGCGUGGAGGAUGAAGGUCUUCGGAUUGUAAACUCCUGUCAUUUGGGAACAAUGUGCAUUUAUUAACUGUAGAUGCAUUGAUAGUACCAGAAGAGGAAGAGACGGCUAACUCUGUGCCAGCAGCCGCGGUAAUACAGAGGUCUCAAGCGUUGUUCGGAUUCAUGGGGCUAAAAGGGUGCUUAGGUGCCGGGGUAAUUCAGGUGUGAAAUCUCGGAGCUUCACCUCCGAAACUUGCACUUGAUACUGCCUGCUUGGAGUACGGGAGAGGAGAUUGAAAUUUACGGUGUAGCAGUGAAAUGCGUAGAUACCGUAAGGAGACCCAGUGGCGAAGGCGAAUCUCUGGACAGUUACUGACACUGAGGCACGAAGCCCAGGGGAGCAAACGGGAUUAGAUACCCCGGUAGUCCUGGCAGUAAACGGUGCGCGUUUGGUGUGGGAGGAUUCGACCCCUUCUGUGCCGGAGCUAACGCGUUAAACGCGCCGCCUGGGGAGUACGGUCGCAAGAUUAAAACUCAAAGAAAUUGACGGGGGCCCGCACAAGCGGUGGAGUAUGUGGCUUAAUUCGAUGCAACGCGAAGAACCUUACCUAGCCUUGACAUGCAUCUCUAAGUCGGUGAAAGCCGGCGAGUGUAGCAAUACACAAUUUGCACAGGUGCUGCAUGGCUGUCGUCAGCUCGUGUCGUGAGAUGUUGGGUUAAGUCCCGCAACGAGCGCAACCCCUGUGAACUGUUGCCACCGACCUUCGGGUCGAGCACUCUGUUCAGACUGCCCUGUGAAACGGGGAGGAAGGUGGGGAUGACGUCAAGUCAGCAUGGCCCUUACGGCUAGGGCUGCACACGUACUACAAUGCUCAGUACAGAACGAACCGAAACCGCGAGGUGGAGGAAAUCUAUAAAACUGAGCCCAAUUCGGAUUGGAGGCUGCAACUCGCCUCCAUGAAGCCGGAAUCGCUAGUAAUGGCGUAUCAGCUACGACGCCGUGAAUACGUUCCCGGGCCU
rnacentral:rRNA from 1 species